GCUGCUGCAAAAAACAGUAGCCGGGCGUGGAAACCCGAAUAAUCUCAAGGCGACUAAACGCCUCACCAUGGCGUUUUUUUA
rnacentral:sRNA from 1 species